rnacentral:rRNA from 1 species
AACGAACGCUGGCGGCAGGCCUAACACAUGCAAGUCGAGCGCCCAGCAAUGGGAGCGGCAGACGGGUGAGUAACGCGUGGGAACCUUCCCGAUAGUACGGAAUAGCCCAGGGAAACUUGGAGUAAUACCGUAUACGCCCGAAAGGGGAAAGAUUCAUCGCUAUCGGAUGGGCCCGCGUAGGGUUAGCUAGUUGGUGAGGUAAUGGCUCACCAAGGCGACGAUCCUUAGCUGGUUUGAGAGAAUGACCAGCCACACUGGGACUGAGACACGGCCCAGACUCCUACGGGAGGCAGCAGUGGGGAAUCUUGGACAAUGGGCGCAAGCCUGAUCCAGCCAUGCCGCGUGAGUGACGAAGGUCUUCGGAUUGUAAAGCUCUUUUGCCAGGGACGAUAAUGACGGUACCUGGAGAAUAAGCCCCAGCUAACUUCGUGCCAGCAGCCGCGGUAAAAC